AUUAUACAGAAUCUUAGUUCAUAUUUAUGCUUUGACCAGGUACGAUAACGUCAAUAGCGAUUAUUGAGAGGAUCAAUUUAAUACCUACGCAUUGAAAAAUCAUGAAAAGCUUCAUUCUCAUCACGCUAGCAGCAUUGUCAGUCUGCCUAAGCGUAGCUGAUCAGGAAUCGCAUACGUCAUCCGUAGGUAAACAGCAACCGGGAGAUUGGCUUAUGUUUCGUUUUGAAAAUACAGCCUACCCAAUACCGGAUUCGCGAAGACGGCACACUGUUCAGGUUCAAUUACCGUCAAGUGCUCAGGUUAACUACGUAACGUUCGAGGAUAAAGACCCCUCGUCAGGAGGCUUCGUUUCAUACAUAGGAGGAUUUGCAAACAACCACAUUACCGUUAUGAUACAAUCGCAGUGGGGUGGUGGAUUUGAUUUUGUGACUGAUAUAUGGGGACAGGAUCCAGAGUCAUCACAACCGGUGAAGUUAAUGAGCUCCGCGGUGCAAACAAAUUGUACUAUGACAGUGGACGAUGGAAAAACUAUCCAAACUUUUGACUGCAAUAUGAAUUUGCAUUAAAACACUGUUGUUUAUU